UCCGUCAUGUGCUACCAACAAAGAUGCACGAAAAAUAGAGAAAACACCGAACGACGGUAAAAGAAAUAAAUACAGAAAGAAGAAAUCAAGAUUUACGUUGUUCAGCAAUUGCCUACGUCCACGGGGAGAGCGAGAGAGAUGUAUUCCACUAUAUGAAGAAAUAGAAGUACAAGCAUACACCUUAUGUCUUCUCCGGAUAAAAAACCAAGAGCCUUAUGGUGAAUUCCACAUUUCUCUUGUUCCAACGAAAACUCCAAGAAUAUACCGAAAAAGCUUUUCGUAAAACCGAGAAGACCAAAUUAGAGAAGUAUAGAACCUCUAACCAAAUUUCUUUAUGCCGUUGCUUCGAAGAAUUCGAACCGCUCAGGCAAUUGGUCGAGAA
rnacentral:lncRNA from 1 species